rnacentral:snRNA from 1 species
UUGCUCACUUCAGCAGCACAUAUACUAAAAUUGGAACGAUGCAGAGAAGAUUAGCAUGGCCCCUGUGCAAGGAUGAAAUGCAAAUUCAUGAAGCGUUCCAUAUUUUU